rnacentral:sRNA from 1 species
GAGUGCAGAGGCAUCUUCAUCUGCUGUCUCAUGCUACCAUGCACCUCAGAGAGACGAGGGACAAAGUGCCCAGAGUGCAUGCAGCUGAAAGAAUCCUGGAAAAUGCUUCUUCUCUACUGAGUAUAGGGCAGGGCCACUCUGCCUGUGUUGAUGGCUUUUGUCUAGGUCAUCUGUCUAAUAGAUAGGAGAGUGGCAAGAUUUAAGGGGUGCCAAGUUGGUUCUUGCUAUUGACCCAAUGGAAAAAUGAUGGCGCACAAAGAAAAUAACCUAAGGGGACUUUAUUAGACUCCUGUCAAAGAUACAGAUCUCUGCCUUCCCCAUGGACUGAACACCAGAAGCAAGGGAGUCCUGUACCUAAUCCAUGGAAGACAGCCUCCUGCCGAGUGAAUAGUGAACAGAGGACAUGGAGCACUGAACUCUGCAGGAAAGGAGAAUCUCACCUUCCACUCCGUACCCCGACGUGAAGAGGCUCAAGACAACAGAGUGCUCCCAGUCAAGUUGCCAGUGAACAGUCUGGGUCCCCUCAUCUACACCUGCCUACCCGAAACCCCUGGAGUACAUCUGGCCAGAAUGUAGACUUCAUCACCACAUCACCAGGACUCGGAAACAAGGGGGUCAAGAUCUGCACAUGUGUUCCAAUAACCAGAUUCUUGGCAUAUGGUGUGUUCUGGCCACAGUGUGCAUGCUUCCACACGGACACAAUCAGUUCCAGAAUAAUCUCAGUCCUUCUAGCCACUGUAUGGACUAUGCUCUGAACGCUGCCAGCACCCUGAACAGUUCUCACUCGACUAGUAGGACUUUGAAGAUGGUUCAUGCCAUUGCACCGUAUGUCUUCCAACCCAUGGGAUUUCUUCCUUUUGACUCAUCUUAAGGAGAGCCUUCGUGGCUGUGGGACUACAGAGCCAGACGGGGUCUCUGUGGUUACCCUUGGUGGCACUUCCCUGUAGUGGUAUCUUACUAAGCAGCAUGCACAGAGACACUACUGAAGGUGUAGGUGGGUGUCCUGUGGUUACUUCUUACGGCCAGAGGCGCAUCAUACUGAAAAAAGGAAGUACUCAUGUCUUCGUAGACAGCUUGUUUACCAUGAAGCAUUUUGAAGGAACUCUUUAGGGUCUCAUGUCUGAGUAGAUUGCUGUGUCCUCUCCAGGACAUUUCUUCAUUCCUUCCUCUUACCUGUGAUUACUUAUAUAGUUAAGCUCUGUAGAAUUCACAUUCUCUCUGUUACUGUAUUAGCCAACGUCCUCUGGAAGAGAGGGCCUAAGUCUCUAUUUACUUUAAAUUAUAUUGAAGAAGUAAUUCUUAUGCCUAGAUUGCUGGUGGGGCCACAUGGUGAAGGGAUGUACUAGUUACUUUCUAUUGCUGUGAUAAAAUACUAUGCUCAAGUAGUAUUACUUACAGAAGGAAGGGUUUAUUUUGCCUUACAAUACCAAAGGGAUAAGAGUCCAUUAUGGUGGGAAGGCUUGGCAGCAGACAGACAAGAUAGCUAGAGCAUCCUCAAGGGCGAGCACACAGCAGAGAGAACAAAUUGGAAGUAGUGUGAGGCUUUUAACUCGCAAAGCCUGACCCCAGCCACAUACUUCCUUCUGCAAGAUGGUACCUCCCAUUGCACCUGUUAAUUGAGAAUCAAAGUUGAAUAAACAAAACCAAGCCCCACCCUGAAUGGCCUAUUGUAGGAGAAAAGGUUGAGCUGGAGCUCAUGUUAAGAUAAACAAGCCAAUCUCAGAAAGAAAACAUCUCCUAUGUGGGUCUUAGAGCUUAUAUAUCCAUAAGUCAUAUAUGUGCAUAGU